rnacentral:tRNA from 1 species
GCCGGUAUAGUUCAAUGGUAGAACGAAGGACUCAUAAGCCUUAAACAAUGGUUCGAUUCCAUUUACCGGCACCA